rnacentral:tRNA from 1 species
UCCAAUUUGGCAGAUAAAUGUGAUAAAUUUAGAAUUUAUUUAAGAAAUUAAAUUCAAUUGGAA